ACUCAAAUGAAUAGACGGGGGCCCGCACAAGCAGCGGAGCAUGUGGUUUAAUUCGACGCAACGCGAAGAACCUUACCUGGGCUUGACAUGUACCUGACCUCCCUGGAAACAGGGCUUCCCUUCGGGGCAGGUUCACAGGUGGUGCAUGGCUGUCGUCAGCUCGUGUCGUGAGAUGUUGGGUUAAGUCCCGCAACGAGCGCAACCCCCGUCGCAUGUUGCCAGCAUUCAGUUGGGGACUCAUGCGAGACUGCCGGUGACAAACCGGAGGAAGGUGGGGAUGACGUCAAGUCAUCAUGCCCCUUAUGUCCAGGGCUACACACGUGCUACAUUGGCGCGUACAGAGGGUGGCAAGACCGUGAGGUGGAGCGAAUCCCUCAAAGCGCGUCUCGGUUCGGAUAGCAGGCUGAAACUCGCCUGCUUGAAGGCGGAGUUGCUAGUAAUCGCGGAUCAGCAUUGCCGCGGUGAAUACGUUCCCGGGCCUUGUACACACCGCCCGU
rnacentral:rRNA from 1 species